rnacentral:rRNA from 1 species
GGGGAAUAUUGCGCAAUGGGGGCAACCCUGACGCAGCCAUGCCGCGUGAAUGAAGAAGGCCUUCGGGUUGUAAAGUUCUUUCGGUAGCGAGGAAGGCAUUUAGUUUAAUAGACUAGGUGAUUGACGUUAACUACAGAAGAAGCACCGGCUAACUCCGUGCCAGCAGCCGCGGUAAUACGGAGGGUGCGAGCGUUAAUCGGAAUAACUGGGCGUAAAGGGCACGCAGGCGGUGACUUAAGUGAGGUGUGAAAGCCCCGGGCUUAACCUGGGAAUUGCAUUUCAUACUGGGUCGCUAGAGUACUUUAGGGAGGGGUAGAAUUCCACGUGUAGCGGUGAAAUGCGUAGAGAUGUGGAGGAAUACCGAAGGCGAAGGCAGCCCCUUGGGAAUGUACUGACGCUCAUGUGCGAAAGCGUGGGGAGCAAACAGGAUUAGAUACCCUGGUAGUCCACGCUGUAAACGAUGUCGAUUUGGGGGUUGAGCUUUGAGCUUGGCGCCCGUAGCUAACGUGAUAAAUCGACCGCCUGGGGAGUACGGCCGCAAGGUUA